ACAAAUUAAUUUGCGAUGCAAAAAAAUCCGUAUUUCUCCUUUCGAGGAUUUAUAUUUUUCCCCUUCGACACAUAAAAUUAUAACACGAAACCUUUCAGAAAUGAAACGGGUUUUUUUUU
rnacentral:misc_RNA from 1 species